rnacentral:lncRNA from 1 species
CGGCCUAGAAGGACCCAUAACCAGGGCAAAAAAGGCACGCCAAACUCUUAACCAACUAGUAGGAGUCAUGAUUACACGGCUCAAUAAUGACACUAGACCCAUCUAUUACAUCAGUCAUGAAGAAAAGCCCAUGAAGGCCCCGACCAUGAAGGGAAAAUUGAUGAUUUGAAGCUUGCAUUCAAUAAGUGGGUCCAUAUUUAC